rnacentral:tRNA from 1 species
GGUUGUGGCUCAGUGGUAGAGCGCUUGCCUAGCAUGUGUGAGGCACUGGGUUCGAUCCCCGGUACCA